rnacentral:rRNA from 1 species
AGUGAACGCUGGCGGUAGGCCUAACACAUGCAAGUCGAACGGCAGCACAGUAAGAGCUUGCUCUUACGGGUGGCGAGUGGCGGACGGGUGAGGAAUACAUCGGAAUCUACUUUUUCGUGGGGGAUAACGUAGGGAAACUUACGCUAAUACCGCAUACGACCUACGGGUGAAAGCAGGGGAUCUUCGGACCUUGCGCGAUUGAAUGAGCCGAUGUCGGAUUAGCUAGUUGGCGGGGUAAAGGCCCACCAAGGCGACGAUCCGUAGCUGGCCUGAGAGGAUGAUCAGCCACACUGGAACUGAGACGCGGUCCAGACUCCUACGGGAGGCAGCAGUGGGGAAUAUUGGACAAUGGGCGCAAGCCUGAUCCAGCCAUACCGCGUGGGUGAAGAAGGCCUUCGGGUUGUAAAGCCCUUUUGUUGGGAAAGAAAAGCAGCAGGUUAAUACCCCGCUGUUCUGACGGUACCCAAAGAAUAAGCGCCGGCUAACUUCGUG